AUGUCUCAUCACCAGUACCAACUUCCUGUCUUCCUAUCACACAUUUCCAUUCUCCCCUCUUCUGUUUCCUCCAGAUAUAAUGAAGACUAUCAGACCAUGGGGCUUCAUUUUCUCACUUUUUUCAGUUUCCUUCUUCUUCCAGAUGCUCACAUUGACCUCAGCAUGGAGUCACUCUUCAUUAAGCAAAUAUGUCCUCUUAAACAAAAGAGACAAAAGGAUUCUACUCCAAAGGAAUAUAAACAGCAUGUUGCAGAGCAGUUCCAAGGAUAACCAUAUCUAAAGAGCUAGACUGGUGUAGCAAAGGAGUUUGUAGCUCUGAUCUGAAAUCAAGAAAAUUAGUCCCAAGUUAGUCUAGGAAAACACACCAUGAAGGACGUGUUCUAGGUAAGAUACCUUAUUCCUCUCUAGCACCUCUCCUGCACCUAUGUAGGUGUGAGAUUAUAUUCACAAUUUUUUUUCAAUGUAGUGUUAAAUUCCAAUGUUAAUUUUUCAGAUUUCAACAGACAGGGGAAAGAAAAGGGGAAGAUUGAGAGGAAGAGAGAGAAAAAGGGAAACCAAGAAAGAGAGAGAAAGUAGCCGGGAGGGAUGUAGAAGAAGCAUCAUUUUGCCCAAUUUCUAAUUAUCCAGUACACACACACACACACACACACACACACACACACAGAGAGAGAGAGAGAGAGAGAGAGAGAGAGAGAGAGAGAGAGAAAAGAGAGAGACAGGGAGAGGGAAAGGGAGUUAGUAUAUUGAUAAGACAGAAGAGGUAUCAAAUACUAGACAUUCCCAAAUCAAUUUGACUAAAGAAUACUUUGGGCCUUUAAAUAUACUGAGAAAACCCA
rnacentral:lncRNA from 1 species